rnacentral:lncRNA from 1 species
CCCCAGUGGCCCUGAGAGGUGCUCCAGCCCUGACUGUUUGCCUGGCCCAAUGGGCGGACCUCUGUGGACCGUCCCAUCCCAGCAGAGGCAUCAGGGCUGGAGGGAGAGGAGCUGGACCCCCGUGGCAGGGCCACUGUACCCUCCCUGUCCCCUCUCAACGCCUGUGCCUUGGGGUGACCCUGCUGCUGGCUGCCCCUCCGCCUGUGCCCCCAUUAGUCAGUGAUUAGAUAUCCAUCUUUGCUUCCUAUCAAGAAGCUCCUGAAUUGGGCCAUUAUGCAGAGAAAAAAGUGUUUUUCAAUGAUCACCGGGGAGAGGAGACGCCGCCAGCACUGAGUGGAGAAUCAAUUUGAGCCAGGAAGGCCUGGCCAUCCAUCUCCCUUUGCGGGGUAAUUUAGGCCUUGGAGCUGACAGAGCAGAUAGCAGAGCCACAGCCACACAGAGGCCCUGGCCGAGGCUGAAGAAUGCGGCCGCUCUGUGGUCAUUAUCUUGGGGAGGCUGCUGCCAGGAGGAGGGGCAGGAAGAAAAAUUGGGCCCAUCUGGGAAGAGUGAUCUUUCCACGAGGAUGCUCUUGGAGGAGGCGGUUAUCCGUCCCCCGGUGACCUCCCUGCAGCCCGCGGUUUAUGGGUUUGGUUUUGUGUGGCAGCCACAGGCACAGUGGGGUGGCCCUGGGGAAUGGACACUGCCCGUGUGGUGCUGGACAGACUGGCCGCUGCCGUCCCUGCCCUUCCUAACUGCUGGCUGUCACCCAGACUCUACCAGGAGUGACCCUUCCCUGUGCCGGCCCCUCAUCAUCCCGUCUCAACUGCAGCCAUGGAGGCCCAGGAGGGAAGCCACCAGCUAGCACACAGCAGCAGCAGGAUUUGGGCUCCGCCACCUAGGGGCCUCUCCCCUUCGCCUGUCCCUCCCGUUCCUCUUGUCCCCUGAGAGGGUCUCAGAUACGGUCUGCCGGCCGUAACAGGUUGGAAGGGAACAGCCAGAAAGUCCCAACCGUCCCCUGCCAUGUGGCUCAGGUGAGUCUCCUCCCCUGUCUGGGUUUGGUCUGGAUCUCACCUGGGUCUUCAAGCCUAGCAUGGUGCCCAGACCUCCCAGGGGCUCUGGCUCAUGACUGUGGGAAUGAACAGUGGGGCAGGGCAUCAGGCCCCUCUCCACCUGCU